AUGAUGCCAGCCUUGGUGAUCCGGUGGAGGAAUUCCAUCCCUCUGCCGGCAGGGAGUGCUUUGUGGAGGAGGCUUCAGAGAGCUUUCUCCCCCAGCUCUGGUCCAUACCCAAAGCACCCUGCUUCUGUUUGCAUUCCCACCGCUGAGGUUUCCGUGGGGGCUGGGGGUGCUGUCGGUGAAACACAUGCCCUCUCCCCAGCUUGGGUGGGCCAGCCCUGCCAGCUGCCUUCACUUUUGGCUGCAGAAAGCCUGCCAGGCUGCAGUGUGCAAGGGCCUGGAACAAUGACUGGUAGCAUCAGCUAUUUUAAUGCAGAGUUAGGCACACAAUCCUUGCUAAAAAUAAAUACAAAGGAAAACCCCAAAGUAGCUAAGCCUAUUUUAAUACCUUUUAUUUUUCUUGUCCCUGGUUCUUUUGUCUUCCCUUGCAACUUGGAAGUUGUGUUUCACACAGGGCCCACCCCGAGUGUUGUCAGGGCUCCAUGUCCUGCCGAAGGAGGGACGGACGUGCCGCCCAAUCUUGAUCACUGGCAGGAGUAGCAGAGGGAAUAGAGGGAACAAAAGGGAAAGUACUCCACAGUCAUUUAUCUGAGUGCAAUUUAUAUUGUUAAAUAGAACGAUGGCACAACUUCUGAGAUAACUACAAAGGAGCUUAGGGGUGAUGAGCCCUCUUUCCACUGCCUCUCCCCUGUCCAACACAGCCCCACCUUGGGGAGAAUGGAUAUUUGCAAAGCACCUGGCUGAGAAAUAGCUAGCUGCCCUCCUCUCCUGGGAGGAAACAAAUCCGAGUGCCUCAUCGCUGCUUACCUUUUCAGAAGGGAAGCCAGGGCGUCUACUGUUAAAUUACUUAAACAAGGAGGCCUUUAGACUGCCUGUGGCUCUAAUGCAUUGGGGGCUACCUAGGCAGACUAAAAUCUAAGCCUGUAAAUGCUUCAAGGUUAUGAAAUCAGACCUGUAAAGAUAAAUCACAAACAGCCAGCUAGCCUGUAAGCUAUGGCCAAGAAAUAAUUUCCUUUCUUUGCUUCCGCAAAUAAGUCUCUCUGUCUUCUCCAGCUCCCUGGAGAAGUGCUCCUACCCACUUCCAGUUUAGCCCUGCCCUCUUCAAGUGGGUUUUUGCUCAAACUCUUAGAAUUUUGAAUAUGUCUCAGUUGAUACAGUGUUGGAAUCA
rnacentral:lncRNA from 1 species